rnacentral:rRNA from 1 species
AGGCUAAAUAUGACCACGAGACCGAUAGCGAACAAGUACCGUGAGGGAAAGUUGAAAAGCACUUUGAAGAGAGAGUUCAAGAGUACGUGAAACCGUUUAGGGGUAAACCUGAGAAACCCGAAAGGUCGAAGGGAGAAAUUCAUUCGCGUUUCGUCGCAGGCGUCGGACGGGGUCGAGUGACGGAGAACGUUCGCGUCCUUCGCACCCUCCAUACGACGAUCCGGUGACGUACGCGUGCACUUUUCUCCUGGUAGGACGUCGCGAUCCGUUGGGCGUCGGUCUACGGCUCGCGGUGGAGGCCGUUCGUACGUUUCGCGACGUACGGGCGGACCCGCGUGUCCCGGCUGACUCGCUCGACGGUAUAGUAACGGUUUGAGGCCGCUCUCGGAGCGUUCGGCUCGCGGCAAGCGCGCCAGAUGCGUCGGUGAUCGGACCCGGUGCCGAUUCUGACCUCUGGUGACUGUUGGCCGCGAAGUUCUCGGACAGACCACAUUCUAAAAACCGAUCUGCGACGCUAUAGCUUUGGGUACUUUCAGGACCCGUCUUGAAACACGGACCAAGGAGUCUAGCAUGUGCGCGAGUCAUUGGGAAACUCUAAACCUAAAGGCGCAAUGAAAGUAAAGGUCCCCCUCGCGGGGACCGAGGGAGGACGGGCGGUUUUCACCCUUAAAAGUGGCCGCUCCGCACUCCCGGGGCGUCUCGUUCUCAUCGCGAGAAGAGGCGCACCAAGAGCGUACACGCUG